AGUUAUUUCAAAUUAUUGGUGAUGUGCUUAAAAUUAAUGUUUUUAUAGUUGUUUCGCAUAUAGGUGAGACGUAUCCCGAGGACGACCGCAUCCAGGGACGCCACGGGGGUUACGACCCGUCGACUUAUCAGUGAGUGGGCAGUUUUGUUUUCGUAUUACCUAUAUACUACUGUUUUUCCCAGAAAAAUGUUUAUAUGAAAAUAUGUUUUGAAUAUGCCAUGCAUAGAAUUAUUUGAAAAUCAUGAAUUGGUUUAUGAACUAUAUGAUUGAAAUAUGAUGCAUACAUGUUGCAUGGUGCUGUGGAGGCACAGGUAAGUCAGGUGAGUUCAUUUAUUCAUUGAAUUGUUGUUGUUGAGAUGAGUUGAGCUCAUAAUCUGCACCCUAGGUGUUAGUGCUUAUAUUAUUCACCACACCGCACGCUCGUCUUGGAUCCAAGUAGGUGGAUGUCGUACAGACCAUGUGAGGGUUCCGACAUGCUAGUCGUACAGAUCACUAGGCGUGAUUCCGACUAGUGGGUGACCUUAGUUAUGCGCGCUGAUGAUAUGAUGAGAGAAGCACUAGAGCGUAUUUUUACACCUUUCAUCGUAUAGACUACCUUACGUAGUUCCGAGUGAUGUGCAGAGUAGGGCCGUAUAGGUCACUGUGGUGACUCCGGCUUAGUGGGAUUUGAGCUAUUGAAUUAAUCGUAUAGGACCAACUGCAGGGUCUCCGAUUGAUUCCUUAUUCACCUGAUUUAUAUUUUUAUUUAUGUCAUGGCAUGUUUUCUUGAAAAUGUUAAAGAUUUGAGAUUUAAAUGUUGAGAUUUUUAUAUGGUUAUAUAUUUCUGGGAAAGUAUACAGGUUUUUUACGGCGAGGGGAUAUAACUGUUUUUAAUGAAAUGUUUUGGAAAACUAAUUUGUUUUACUGACCCACUCAUUUUGUUUUGCGCCCCUCCAGGUUCUAGUUUAGCGGUGGUUGGCUCACGAGGUCCUUUCCGGCUUUCUGACAGAUUUGGGACAUGUAGGACUCACCUGAGGGUGAUGUAUUCUUAUUUUAGUCCUACUUGACUGCAGUUAACCUAUGCUCUGAACUUAUGUGUUUACUUGUAACUCGUCCGGUUAUGUCCGUAUGUGGUUAUGUUGAGUUUGGGUUGAAUUUCUGUUGUUAUAUGUUGUUAUUACGCUUCCGUGUCGUGCUUAUGGUUACGUCACGCCCACGUGACGGCCAGCACACCUGGAUCCUUCGGAUCAGGGUGUGUCAUAUUUGGUACAAACUUCUUAAUGGAUGUAAAACACUUCAACAAAAAUUAGACUUCUAGCAGUUAAGCAGAGCUCAUUCGAUAUCAGAGGACCAAUGAGACUAACAGCUUAUGAAUUUUCUUUUUAAUUUAUUAUUAUUAAGGAGAGGGGGAAGAGUUUGAAAGUAUUACAAUAAUUAUGGGAUGAGUAUCGAAUCCGAUACGCAUAAAACCCAACACCUUAUCCACUGAGAUAUUGGACUACAUGCUAGCUUAUGAAAAAUAAAUCAAGACAAAAAUCAAUAAAACUUUUCAAGUGAAUAAUUUAUCCUAAGCUGAGUUGAACACUUCACUAUGAUAUACAAGAUAGUAAGUAAUCUAAUUACAAUAUUAAGCACUAAAUAUCACCACCAAUCAGCACACAUUACAUAUGUGUACAAGAUGAAAAAGGUUAAAAAAAGGAGAGUGAUUUUUGCACACCUUUUUUGUCUCCCCAAGUACACAUGUUUAUUUUCAGUAUUUGAAUUGUAUAAACUAAAACAGAAUUAAGUGACAAAAUAAUUCGAGGUGCGCAGAAAGAGAAAAUGAGCUUGCGGAGGUCAUUUCCUAAUAACCUGUAUAUAUGGAAAGGGGUAAUGUGGGAAGGAAGAAAACUCACCCAGGUGGAGCAAAGAAAGUGGCAUAGGGAACCAACAUGAAGCCACUGGGGAGUGAGAUAGUACCCAGAAGAAGCAGAUUCAUAAGCUUCCUCUUCUCCAUGUCUGGCACUCUAUCAGCAGCAAUACUGCCUGCCUGGCAAGUGACUCUCAUUCCCUUUCCCUUUCCCAUCAUCUGUGUCCUCUUGCUCUUCACAGCAAAGCCCUUUGCUGAUGAGAACAUUGCACUCUUGCUGGAACACAGCUGACAAAACAAUCAAACACAUAGCAAAAGAUUAUUUCUCAUUAACUCUAGCUUUAACCCUCCAACCCCACAUCAGGCAGUUCACGUACAAGAGAUUAAUUAGUACUAAUCAAUACUUAAGUAAGCAAUAAGAGAGUUGGGUUUUGGUUUUAAUUACCUGGGAAGUGGUAGCAGGACAUAGAGUAGAGGAAGCCAUUGUAAGGGGAUUGCUUGGAGAUCAACUGUUAGCUGCUUCAUUUUUUGUGUGAAAUAUGGUUUUGUAACGACCACAGCCCACUAGUGGAUAAGGCGCAUGGUAAAAGGGCGCCACAUUACCACAUGUUCAUGAUCAAGAUUUUUCUAGCUACCUUGAAGGAAAAAAUAUAUACAAAUAAUAUUUAUGGGCUGACUAACCCAAGAUUAUUCAUUUGCAUUUUACAAAAAGAACAACAUUGAUGGGCUGACUAACCCAAGAUUGGGAGGGUAUAGAAAUAUAACAAAGCUUCUGAAUUGUACUAUUGGGCCAUUGUGAUCUUCCACUAACAAGCUGGGGUUCGCUAUUGGGCUUUGCCUAAACUUUCUAUAUGAGAAUUGGGAUUUUCAUCUUAUUAGCAACGAGUCGUGUUUAGGGUUUAUCCCUUUAUAUAUAAAAUGAUACAAAAGUAAAAUUAUACUACUAAUACAAUAAGUGAAAUGAUAAAAACACACCACUUUUAGCCUUUCACACAUCCUUGUUUAAUCAUGAUUGUUGUUUUUGUUUGAUUUAUUCAAUUUGAUGACAAAAAAUUAAAAGGAUUGUUUUAGAACUUUGAAGCUAAAAAGAGUAAGUGAAAAGCACCUCCCAUACAAUAACUCAUAUUAUUUAGGAGAAAGUUGAGGAAAGUUAUAAUACCAAUAUAUACCAUAACUUUUAUAAUAUUAUAUUGAACAUUGAUGCAGUUAAUCAUAUACACAUCAUGUCUUAUUAUCUUGUGAAUUUUGAGUUGUGUUGUGACCAAUAUUGCUACACCUUUGUGACUUGUUCAACAUACUAGGAGUAUUUAUGAAAAAUAGAAAUUGUUGAAUUAAUUUGGUAACAAGUGGCAAUGUUUGAUCGCUAUCACUAUUUCAUGAUUCACAUAAACCAAAAGUCAAACACCAAAUAGACAAUUCAGCACAACCUUUUUUUUUUUUCCUCAAUUGCAAACCAACCCCGAGUCUUUGACAAUAAAGUAGAGAAAUGAUCAAUUGUCUUCAACUUCCACUUCAAAUGAUGGGCUUGCAUGCUCUCCCUUUUUCCUAGUUUAAUAGCUUAUUGCACCCAAGUUUUGACAUCCUCUCUCUCCCUCUGUCCCUCUUUCACCCACUCAUAUACUCCCCUUGCAAAACGGUAAACAUAUAAGAAAAUGUUAGGGAGAUCAUGGUUAAAAUUAUACCAUCAACCGCUAUCUUAUGUGCUCUACAAAAUAUAGUUCAAAUAGAUGGUCUAUGUAUCAUCACUCAAAAGCAUAAAUACAACUAAUCAUAAUCUUAUAGACAAUCUCUGCUUUUGCUUCCAGUUUCUUUUAUCACAUGGUUAUAAGGCAAUUCUUACCAUAUGCUACACACACACACACACACACAUAUAUCCCUAGUACUGCUACUUCAUCAUGAUUUUUUCCCCAGUCUACAGGCGAGCACCGUAGGGAAAAGCUUUUGGUGCACUGAUCCAGAAGCUAAUUAAGCCAGUCCUUAGGCUAUGAGUACGAACUUGUAUUGACUAUAGCUGUUAGCAUGUAGAAAAUAGAUAAUAAAGAAAAGAGUAUAUAUUAACAAGAGUGUUCUUCUCUGGGUCACUAUGAAGUAUGGACCAUAUGGAUUGAAUUCUAGUGGAGCAACUAAGGAUGUACGUAUACAACAUAUGGAUUGAAUUCUAGUGGAGCAACUAAGGAUGUACGUAUACAACAUAGGUAUCGUUAUGUCAAAAAUUCAAUGAUUGACAUUUCAUUUAAAAUCUACCAUUGAAUUUCGAUUAACUGUAAUCUAUGGUGUUUAAUUUGUUCAAAAAAAUGCACGCCCAUUUUUCUUAAUAUUUCCCUUUAAAUACUAUAUAUGUCUGUGUAAGUGUGAGAUAAAAGAGUCUUUUAUCUCUUCCGAGCUGUUUUUGUGGUAUAGGUUCGCAUGCAGUAUACUGCCAAUGAAUUCUCCGAAGAAGAUAAAUAAUUGAGUAUAGCUAGGUUUUCACUUUUGUCCCAAAGUAGAACAAGGUCCACCUUGCCUGUCUCCACCAUGAAUUUGCAAACGCAAAAAAAAAAAUAUUAAUGAUGAUGUUUUCUGCAUGGGGGUAUGGCGUGAAACAUACACUCAUCAUGUGCUUCCAUCUCUCUCUCUCUCUCUCUCUCUGCCUUCUCAAUAUCACUCCAAGCGUGCAUUCUUCACCUGUUCAAUCUCUACCACUCUCGUUCUUUUUACAAAACUCCUCCAUUAACAACAUACUUAAUAAUAAUCUAUCAAUCUUUCUUUCAAGCUUAUUUGGACAGUCCACGGUCACUACUUAAUCAACAUUGAUAUUGCUCUUAUUUUAAUUUGUACAAUUCAAUAAGCUUUUAUGCAAAAAGUCUCGAUUCAAUUAGUAUAAAUUAUUUUAUUAUUCAAAAGAAAAACCCUGGUAAACCAUUCAAUUCAAUUAAGUUGUUUUAAUUAAGUGUCUAGUGUGAGAUAUGCUUCAACAUAUGUGGCUUUGAAAAGUACUAAAAGGGACCUUAUAUAUUCUAUGUAUAUUUGGUCUUCCAAAGAGUAAGAAAGAAUAGUUCUUUGUGUUUUCUUUUGCUUUCUCUUGCACCAAUAUUGUUGAGAACUAAAGAGAAUCCAUUGUUUUCGUCAAAGAUGAAGACACCCAACAAAGAAAGUCAAACAAAGCAGGAAGAAAAGAAAAAAAUAUAUAUAAGGUACCCGUAUCAAUGAUUAAAAGUAGGGUUUCGAGAUGGAGCAAGCUUGAAGCAACCCAAAAAAAAAAAAAAGGAACGUUCUUCAAGGCAAUUAGGGAGGCAUUUCGAUUCAAGUGAUAAAACAAACACAAAAUUAAAAGUUAUUUGGCUUCUUCUGGUAUCCCAAACUUUUUGUCUCCCCCAACUAACACGAAAUUAAGAUCGAUUUUAGUUUACAAUUACUUAUGAAUGACUUGCGAAAUGGAUCACAAGUAGAAUCCUAUGGUAAGGUCAUUACUCAGAAGUUGAAAUGUGGAUGGUAUCUGUAGAUCAUGUGAAGUUGAGAUCCUUUUUUCAUGCAAUCUAACGGUGGUAUACGAUAACUUGGAUUCUCAGAAGUUGAAAUUUACUAUUGUAGGCACAAUCUCUAUGGUUGAUGUUAUCGCAUUAUAAUUUUUUUAGAAAUGUAAAGAGAUUCUCUUAAAGGUGAAAUUCUCUAUAAACUCUCUAUCGUCCUAUAUUUUUGCACAAUAUUUUAUAAUGUUGCCGUGAAAAUUGAUGUGAAAUUGUGAGGUAACAAAUAGUUCAUGAAGAAAUAUUGAUAGUUGCUUAGCAUUUUUCUAUAUUUAAUUCUCAAUUUUGUUUAUUAUAUCGUAGAUAUUGAACAAAAUUUGGCACAAAUGUGGUCGUGCCUUACAAGUGUACUGGUGCAACUAUGGUCGUUUUCUACGUCACGGUCGAAGUAGAUGAAGUUAAAUACUACUUCGUCGAGCAUUUUAGUUCUUGAGCAUUUUUAUUUUAGUCAAUUGAAAUACUUACAUGAGCUAUUACGUGGUAACUUUUAAAAUGGUACAAUAGUACAUUGGAACUUUAACAUGAAGGCAGUUAGUUAAGACAUAUGAGAGAGAUUUUUCAGUGUAACUGGAACAUGAAAUGGUACAUCACAUGUCAUUAUAUCAAUAAUGGAAUAUGUAUGCUAAAAAGUUAAUAACUUAAAAAAUACAAUUUCCUACCACUUAUAUAAAAACACGUGGUGUACUAUCCAUAUUUCCAUCACAAUGAAAAUUUCUCCACAUAUGUACGUCCUACUGUUUAUUAUGUCGAUAUUUUAUAGUGAUUAGGCAACAAUUUAUUACUAAUUAUCAACAAUUUAUAGAGAUUAGGCAACAAUCUAUUUCACCGCUAUAAAAAACUAAUACAAGUACAUAAAGGCAAUGGUCGAUGACCCAAAUCCAAGGAAGAUGACCAGAGGAAAACAGGGUAAUCAAAUUUCAAAGAUACUUGUAACCAAAAGAAAAUUUUCAAAGGACGUUCCGUAAAACAAUUGCGUGACAUGAUGACAAUCUAUUAUUAUGUACUAAUAAUGCAGCUGGGUUGCAUCUUCUUAAAAUAGUAGAAAUUUUUUAUCAUGCUCGCAACAUGGGGCGUUAUAUGUGCUUGUUUUUCAAACAUAUUAAAAAAUCUCUCUUUGAAUGAUACAUUGUUUCUUUUUCUAUUGUUCAUUUGCAAACCAAAUAAUGUGUUACCAAUAAGCAAUAAGUAUGCUAAUUAACACUUAAGAAAUAAAUCAACAUUUUACCAUCAAGGCAUCUUGAAAAUGAAUCGUAUUCCAUGCAUAUGAUACCUAUCCAGUGCGAUGCUCGUUUUCCGGGCACACACAUUGUUUCUUUUUCUAUUAUUUUUUAGUAAUACUAGGUAGAUCAAAUUUGCAAACCAAAUAAUAUGUCACCAAUAAUAAAUCAAUACGUUAAUCAACACUUAAGUAAUAGUCUAAGCAUCAACUUUAAUGUCAUUUAAUUUACAAAAUUUAGCCUCACUAACAUUACCCUAUUCAUUUACUCUUUCCACUUAUCCUAGAAUGGCACAUGCCAAACAAUCUUUAUUUUGAUCUGGUUGGCACAUUGCUAAUGACACAUGCCAAACAAUCUUUAUUUUGAUUUGGUCAAUUUCAAAUUUUAUUAAUUAUAUACGAUUCCAAGACUAUAUGAGGUAUUGGUGAUCUUCAACAAUGUCAAGACCUAAUUCAAACUGAUGACUUUUUCGUUAAUAUUCUCUAUAUGCAAUAUAUAGUUGAGGUUAUUUAAUUAAAUUUAUCACUUUAAUUUGAUGACUUUUUCGUUAAUUAUAUAUUGAAAGGAACUAGAGGUAGGGCUGGCAAUUCUAACCAUUAAACCCGAUAACUGUGGAUAAUCGCCUGAAUGGAUUGGAUUUGGAUAUGAAAAUUCGGGUAUGGUAUGGAUAUGGGGAAAAACCGUGAACUUUAUUCGCUUAUGGUUUUAGAUAUGGUUAUAGGGGUUCCCAAUCCAUAU
rnacentral:lncRNA from 1 species